rnacentral:rRNA from 1 species
AAGCGGUGGAGCAUGUGGUUAAUUCGAAGAUACACGAAGAACCUUACCUGGCCUUGACAUGGUAGGAACCCUUAAGAGAUUAGGGGUGCUAGCUUGCUAGAACCUACACACAGGUGCUGCACGGCUGUCGUCAGCUCGUGUCGUGAGAUGUUGGGUUAAGUCCCGCAACGAGCGCAACCCUCGUCCUUAGUUGCUAACAGUUCGGCUGAGCACCCUAGGGAGACUGCCUUCGCAAGGAGGAGGAAGGUGAGGACGACGUCAAGUCAUCAUGGCCCUUACGGCCAGGGCUACACACGUGCUACAAUGGGGCGUACAGAGAGCUGCGAUACCGCGAGGUGGAGCCAAUCUCUUAAAGCGUCUCUCAGUUCGGAUUGUUCUCUGCAACUCGAGAACAUGAAGCUGGAAUCACUAGUAAUCGCAGAUCAGCUAUGCUGCGGUGAAUACGUUCCCGGGUCUU